AUGCCCUGCCCCAGCACAGUCUCUUGGACCGCACUCAUCACCGCGUAUAUGGACGCGGGGCGUGCCAGGGAAGCUGUUGCCGUUGCGAGGGAUGCAUUCGCUAGUGGAAUGCGUCCAGACAGCUUCAUGGCUGCGCGGGUCCUGACCGCGUGCGCCCGGGUCGCGGAUUUGGGCACCGGGGAGGCAGUGUGGAGGACUGCAGAGCGGGAGGGGAUAGCGAGCAGUGUGUUUGUGGCAACUGCAGCGGUGGAUUUGUAUGUCAAGUGCGGUGAGAUGGCCAAGGCAAGGGAGGUGUUUGACAGGAUGCCGGAGAAGAAUGUAGUGGCUUGGGGUGCUAUGGUUAGCGGAUAUGCUUCCAACGGGCAUACGCAAGAGGCUCUGCAGCUCUUCUUUGCAAUGCAGGCUCAGGGAGUGAGACCAAAUUGCAGGACAGGAGCUGGUGCACUCUCAGCGUGCACGCAGUUGGGUGCAUUUGAUCUGGCACAGCAGGUUGUUGCUGUGGUGGACUGGGAUCAGCUUCUUGACAACCCAGUUCUAGGGACUGCGUUGAUUGAAAUGUACUCCAAGUUUGGGAGCACGGCCGAGGCAUGGUUCGUGUUCCAGCAGAUGAGAAAGAGGGGCAUUACUGUUUGGAACGCCAUGGUUUUGGGGCUCAGCAUGACUGGACAUGAUAGGUCUGUGUUUGCCCUUGUAGGCCAGAUGGAGAAGUCAGGCAUGAAAUUGAAUGGCAUGACUUUCAUGAGCCUUCUCUACAGCUGUACUCAUGCCGGCCUUGUACAAGAUGGACGGCGCUACUUCCAUAACAUGACUCAGUUAUACCGCAUUGCUCCUAGGAUUGAGCACUACGGUUGUAUGGUCGACCUUCUCAGUCGCGCUGGGAUGCUCAAGGACGCUCAUCGGCUUAUUAGUGAAAUGCCAAUGCAGGCAAAUGCUGCCGUCUGGAGUGCACUUCUUGGUGGCUGCAAGAUUCACCGAGACGCUGAGCUUGCUGAACAUGCCUUGAAACAGCUCAUCCUGCUAGAGCCCUGGAACUCUGGGAACUAUGCCAUGCUCUCCGACAUAUACUCUAACAGCAGCAGAUGGAAGGAUGAUGCAAAGCUUAGAUUGCACAUGAAGGUGAUAGGGGUCAAGGAGGUCACCGGAUAUAGCUGGGUUGACUUUGAUGGUAAGGUCCACAAGUUCCAUGUUGGAGAUAACUGGCAUCCCCUCAUGGAUCAAAUAUACAAAAAGCUAGAUGAAUUAGGCAUGGAAAUGGAAACCAUAGGUUACAAACCAACUACUGAUGUUGUCAUGUUUAACGUUGAAGAUGAGGAGAAGGAGCACACUCCAGUUCAUCAUAGCGAGAAACUUGCCAUUGCAUUUUGCCUUCUCACCACCAGACCAGGCGAGGCCAUUAGGGUCAUCAAGAACACCAGGGUUUGCACCGACUGUCACACUGAUAUUAAACUUAUAUCAAGGAUAACUCAUCGGGAGAUCAUUGUUCGGGAUAACAGCAGAUUUCAUUGUUUCAGAGAUGGUUGUUGCUCUUGUAAUGAUUACUGGUAG
rnacentral:rRNA from 1 species